rnacentral:rRNA from 1 species
GACGAACGCUGGCGGCGUGCUCAACACAUGCAAGUCGAACGGAAAGGCCCUGCUUUUGUGGGGUGCUCGAGUGGCGAACGGGUGAGUAACACGUGAGUAACCUGCCCUUGACUUUGGGAUAACUUCAGGAAACUGGGGCUAAUACCGGAUAGGAGCUCCUGCUGCAUGGCGGGGGUUGGAAAGUUUCGGCGGUUGGGGAUGGACUCGCGGCUUAUCAGCUUGUUGGUGGGGUAGUGGCUUACCCAGGUGUUGACGGGUAGCCGGCCUGAGAGGGUGACCGGCCACGUUGGGACUGGGGUACGGCCCAGACUGCUACGGGAGGCAGCAGUGGGGGAUGUUGCAGGAUGGGCGGAAGCCUGAUGCAGCAACGCCGCGUGCGGGAUGACGGCCUUCGGGUUGUAAACCGCUUUCGCCUGUGACGAAGCGUGAGUGACGGUAAUGGGUAAAGAAGCACCGGCUAACUACGUG